UCCCCGCUUUUCCUCCCUGAGCGGGUGCCUUGAUGUGUGACAGCAAAAGGGCUUCCCAGCCCGACGUGAAGACGUCGGGCUUUUUUUU
rfam:Variovorax paradoxus strain TBEA6 VPARA_contig000034, whole genome shotgun sequence.